AAAAUUCGAACCUGCGGCAGGUUCGGUGUUGAGCGCAGCGAAACAACGGAGCCGGUUACGGCGACGGCCCGAAGGGCGAGCGAAGCGAGUCAUCCUGCACGACCCACCA
rnacentral:sRNA from 1 species